UACGUAGGGCGCAAGCGUUAUCCGGAAUUAUUGGGCGUAAAGAGCUCGUAGGCGGUUUGUCGCGUCUGCCGUGAAAGUCCGGGGCUCAACUCCGGAUCUGCGGUGGGUACGGGCAGACUAGAGUGAUGUAGGGGAGACUGGAAUUCCUGGUGUAGCGGUGAAAUGCGCAGAUAUCAGGAGGAACACCGGUGGCGAAGGCAGGUCUCUGGGCUGUAACUGACGCUGAGGAGCGGAAAGCAUGGGGAGCGAACAGG
rnacentral:rRNA from 1 species